UAGUUGGAGAGGUAAAAGCUCACCAAGGGGACGAUCAGUAGCCGGUCUGAGAGGAUGACGGCCCACACUGGGACUGAGACACGCCCAAAAUCUUAGCGGGAGGCAGCAGUGGGGAAUCUUCCGCAAUGGACGAAAGUCUGACGGAGCAACGCCGCGUGAGUGAAGAAGUCCUUCGGAUUGUAAAGCUCUGUCAACUAGGACGAAUGUGUGAUUUGUGAAUAAUGAAUCAUAAUGACGGUACUAGAGAAGGAAGCCACGGCUAACUACGUGCCAGCAGCCGCGGUAAUACGUAGGUGGCGAGCGUUGUCCGGAAUUAUUGGGCGUAAAGAGCGCGUAGGCGGGUAAAUAAGUCUGUUUUAAAAGUGCGGGGCUCAACCCCGUGAUGGAAUGGAAACUGUUUAUCUUGAGUACCGGAGAGGAAAGUGGAAUUCCCAGUGUAGCGGUGAAAUGCGUAGAUAUUGGGAGGAACACCAGUGGCGAAGGCGACUUUCUGGACGGUGUCUGACGCU
rnacentral:rRNA from 1 species